GCAGGCUGCAACCCGCCUGUAUGAAGUUGGAAUCGCUAGUAAUCGCGGAUCAGCAUGCCGCGGUGAAUACGUUCCCGGGCCUUGUACACACCGCCCGUCACACCAUGAGAGUCGGGAACACCCGAAGUCCGUAGCCUAACCGCAAGGGGGCGCGGCCGAAGGUGGGUUCGAUAAUUGGGGUGAAGUCGUAACAAGGUAUC
rnacentral:rRNA from 1 species